UACAGAGGUCUCAAGCGUUGUUCGGAUUCAUUGGGCGUAAAGGGCGCGUAGGUGGCGCCGUAAGUCAGGUGUGAAAUUUCGGAGCUUAACUCCGAAACUGCAUUUGAUACUGCGGUGCUUGAGGACUGGAGAGGAGACUGGAAUUUACGGUGUAGCAGUGAAAUGCGUAGAGAUCGUAAGGAAGACCGGUGGCGAAGGCGGGUCUCUGGACAGUUCCUGACACUGAGGCACGAAGGCCAGGGGAGCAAACGGG
rnacentral:rRNA from 1 species